CAACUUGAGAGACGAUAUGUCAUGUGAUGAACUGACAAAUUCAGCACCUAGUACUGAUGACUACUUAGCAGAGUUGUCAAAAUCUUUGCUUAACUUUUCAGAUGAGGAAGAUCUAUUUGACCCUGAUGGAAAUGAAACAAUCAAACCCUGAUGGAAAUGAAACGAUCGAUAAGUCUUAUUUUGAUGGCUUGAGCUCACUUCUCUCGGAUUGUCCUGAUGGUGGAGGUAACAUGCCUGAUAAAGGUGUAUCAGAGGCUUCAAAUGCUCCAGA
rnacentral:lncRNA from 1 species